rnacentral:rRNA from 1 species
UUUUAACGGCUGCGGUAUUUUGACCGUGCUAAGGUAGCAUAAUCAAUUGUUUUUUAAUUGAAAACUAGUAUGAACGGUUUAAUUUACUUAAUUAGUUUGUAAUUUUUAAUAGUAAGUUAAAUAUAAAGUAAGAAUUCUUUAAUAAAUUAGGGGACGAUAAGACCCUAAAAGCUUUAUGAUUGGCAUUUAAUUGGUGAUAGCGGUGCUAUUAAUUCACUGGGGCAGUGAGUUUAGGUAUAUUUAAGUAUAAUUAAAAGCUCCUUUAAAUAAAGAUUUCAUGUAUAAGUUACUUUAGGGAUAACAGUGCAAUAUAUU